AGCACUUAGAUCAAGGUUAAGCACGUACAACGUAACUGAACGAUUGGACUUUGACUUUUUCCUCUAAGUAGACGGCCAAUCAAAAUCGUCAAACACCACGCAUUGACCGUAUGGUUUCUAAAAUUAGAAUCUAGCACAACAAAUCUCUGGAAAAAAGUACACAGCUGACGAAGUGAAUGCCGGUGAAAGAAGAAUACUUACAGUUUCCUCAUCUGAAUGGUCGAAUGUUUGACCAGAAGACAAUAGCAAAUCUGUUUUCGGCCAGUGCUGCAACCAACGUUGCCAUUCAGUUUUGUCACAAGUUACUGUUAGUGCACUUUUUCUAACUUCCCAACACCAAGUGGCAAAGAAAGAAAACACAGCCACUGAACAUUUUUUUAAUCUUGUUUUAAUAUAUUGGAAUAAUUUGUGAAUACUCAGCAAUUUAUUGCAAAAUGGUGAAGGAUAUGUCUGCUGUUCAACCAAAGAAUCUCCCUCGGGAAAACAAAGCUGAAAAUAUGGAAACAGACACACCUCCCUCUCAAAGAGCACAUGUUCAACAGGACCCAACAAACCAAGCUCUAGAUAGGAUGAGCAUUAGGAGAUCUGCAUGGGAGCCAGUUUGGGGACCAGUCUUUAAGAACAAGGAACAUUUUGUAGAGAUGCACCUUUGUUAAAAACCUGAUGCCAUGUAGCUUUAAGCAUUUCAGAUUUACUAGCUCUUGAGAGUGAUACUGUGCUGUUUAAUUUUGUAUAUUUUUGGGUUUGGUUUCAUUUAUUAACCAAGAUUUGUUUGAUUUUAUAUCAUGCUGCUUUAUGAUAUUAGCCUAUAUAUGUUUAUAACAUAAUUCUGUUAUUAAUCCAGUUUUUCAACUAGAUUGAUAAUAAGAGUCAUUUUCGCUAUCACUGAAAAGGAUGUUUGAUUUUGGUAAGUCUUAUAUUUUGCAAUGAUUGAUUGUUCUUUGAGCAGUCUUAGAUGACUUAUUAUAACUAAAUCUAAAUACAGAACAAGUACAGUGGCAGACAAUCUUUCACCAUUUUACAAUAUUUUGCUUUUAUGUUUUGUGCAGUGAUAUUUUUGCUUGACAUUUUGUGCAAUGGGGUGAUGGUGUUUGAAUCAUAUAAAAUAAAACAGUUACUAAAAGAAAUUUAAGUAUGCAAACCCCUUAAGGAUACCUCUGGUUUAUUUACCUCUAUUUUCGGUGCUAGUUAAUAUAGGGCACAUUAAAUUGAUAUAACUGUAAUACAUGUAUAUAUAGAUUGUGUUGUCAUUAUGUUGUGAAUUAUUUUGUUUGAUAUACAGUAAAACCUGUCAUCAUGGUCAUGAAAGGCCAACUUUUAUUGUGAAAGAAAGUUUUUAAACCCAAACCAGCUUAUUUAAAAUAUGAAUAGUUUGAGAAGAAAAAAAAAUUCUUAUACCAAGGUUCUAUAAAGACAUGUUCUGAGUGUUCAAAAUCUACAAAAACCAAUCGGCAUUAUUAUUAGUAUUGAUGUUUUUAAUCAUUCAAAAUAUCUAGGAUUCUUUUUACUGAUGUAUUUCAGUUGUCUUGUCAUAAUAUUUUGAACAGAUUUGUUUCAUUAUUAAAAAAAAAAGUAGUGUUUCUGUAUUGAAUGAUUCGAUUCAAAAAUCUAUAUCCCAACAUAUCAACCUCCAGAUAACAUAGAUCUUUAGAUAGACGUUCAUAUGUGCUGCUGCUUCAAACUUUUCAAAGCUUUAACCUCAUUGUUUUUAUUUCUGCUUUUUUAAAUCAUACCUAUUGCCUUUUAGGAUACAAAAUUUAAAAAAAAUGAGUAUGCAUAAUUUGAAAUAGUAAGAUUUCAACACCAUCAGCUUUGUACAACAUAUAUGUAUCUUGACUUUUAUUGUAUAAUUAUAUGUAUUUCAUUGACACAAACGUGAAGCUUUAUAUUUUUACUGGUGAUUUUAUUUAUUGUAAAUUUGGAGGAGUAUAAUAUCAUUUACAUUUUAUUUUUAUACAUAGAAUAAUGAAAAAGGUGAUUUUUGUUUGUUUAUAGAAAUGUUUUGGAUAGUUUAAACUGAAAUGUGAAAACUUUAACACUUCCAUUUUUGAAUAAAAUUAAUGUUAAUAUCUUAUUAUUUGUUUUAUAUGAAAGAGGCAUUAGUUAAUGCAGAUCUCAUUAGGGUGGGAAUUUGUAGUCUUUUCAAAUUGAAUGUAAGAAGAAUGUUUAUAUUUAAAAAAAAAAAGGGAGGAAUAUUUUUUUUUAUAAAUCCACAUGUAAAACUAGUCAUCUUGAAAAAAAAGCUUUCUACAAAUUAAAUUGUAAAAACUUUAUUUUCAUCAUUGUUUUUGUAUUGUCAGAUUUUGUACUUUUACGGUAAGAAUUAUAAACAAAACUUUCAAAAGUUAGAAAAAAGCCAGUUAAAAAGUAUUAUUUAAAUGAUACAUGUACUUAUUGUUCCAUUUUGAUUGAAUAACUAAUGUGAAAUGGUUUGUGUUUUUAAAUUAAUUUUAAAUAACAACAAUUAAAGACGUGUUGAGCAUUUUAAAUGAGCACUUGAUUUAUUAUACUGUGUAUGAUACUAAAUAAAAAUGUAAUUUA